rnacentral:rRNA from 1 species
CAUGCAAGUCGAACGGAAAGGCCCUUCGGGGUGCUCGAGUGGCGAACGGGUGAGUAACACGUGGGUGAUCUGCCCUGCACUUUGGGAUAAGCCUGGGAAACUGGGUCUAAUACCGGAUAGGACUACGCGAUGCAUGUCGUGUGGUGGAAAGCUUUUGCGGUGUGGGAUGGGCCCGCGGCCUAUCAGCUUGUUGGUGGGGUGAUGGCCUACCAAGGCGACGACGGGUAGCCGGCCUGAGAGGGUGUCCGGCCACACUGGGACUGAGAUACGGCCCAGACUCCUACGGGAGGCAGCAGUGGGGAAUAUUGCACAAUGGGCGCAAGCCUGAUGCAGCGACGCCGCGUGAGGGAUGACGGCCUUCGGGUUGUAAACCUCUUUCAAUAGGGACGAAGCGCGAGUGACGGUACCUAUAGAAGAAGCACCGGCCAACUACGUGCCAGCAGCCGCGGUAAUACGUAGGGUGCGAGCGUUGUCCGGAAUUACUGGGCGUAAAGAGCUCGUAGGUGGUUUGUCGCGUUGUUCGUGAAAACUCACA